GCGUUAUCCGGAUUUACUGGGCGUAAAGCGCGUUAAGGCGGCCGGCAAAGUUGAGGGUGAAAUUUCGGGGCUCAACCCCGAAACUGCCUCCAAUACUGGUCGGCUAGAGUGCGAGAGAGGAAGGUGGAAUUCCCGGUGUAGUAGUGAAAUGCGUAGAUAUCGGGAGGAACACCAGUGGCGAAGGCGGCCUUCUGGCUCGUAACUGACGCUGUAGCGCGAAAGCGUG
rnacentral:rRNA from 1 species